rnacentral:rRNA from 1 species
AGUGAACGCUGGCGGUAGGCCUAACACAUGCAAGUCGAACGGCAGCACAGUAAGAGCUUGCUCUUACGGGUGGCGAGUGGCGGACGGGUGAGGAAUACAUCGGAAUCUACUUUUUCGUGGGGGAUAACGUAGGGAAACUUACGCUAAUACCGCAUACGACCUACGGGUGAAAGCAGGGGAUCUUCGGACCUUGCGCGAUUGAAUGAGCCGAUGUCGGAUUAGCUAGUUGGCGGGGUAAAGGCUCACCAAGGCGACGAUCCGUAGCUGGUCUGAGAGGAUGAUCAGCCACACUGGAACUGAGACACGGUCCAGACUCCUACGGGAGGCAGCAGUGGGGAAUAUUGGACAAUGGGCGCAAGCCUGAUCCAGCCAUACCGCGUGGGUGAAGAAGGCCUUCUGGUUGUAAAGCCCUUUUGUUGGGAAAGAAAAGCAGCAGGUUAAUACCCCGCUGUUCUGACGGUACCCAAAGAAUAAGCACCGGCUAACUUCGUG